CCUACGGGAGGCAGCAGUGGGGAAUAUUGCACAAUGGGGGGAACCCUGAUGCAGCGACGCCGCGUGGGUGAAGGAGCGUUUCGGCGCGUAAAGCCCUAUCGGCAGGGAAGAAGAUGACGGUACCUGACCAAGAAGCCCCGGCUAACUACGUGCCAGCAGCCGCGGUAAUACGGAGGGGGCAAGCGUUAUCCGGAUUUACUGGGUGGAAAGGGGGCGUAGACGGCAAUGCAAGCCAGGGGUGAAAGCCCGGGGCUCAACCCCGGGACUGCUCUUGGAACUGCAUGGCUGGAGUACAGGAGGGGAAGGUGGAAUUGCUGGUGUAGGGGUGAAAUGCGUAGAUAUUAGGAGGAACACCGGUGGCGAAGGCGGCCUGCUGGACUGUGACUGACGUUGAGGCGCGAAGGCGUGGGGAGCAAACAGGAUUAGAUACCCGGGUAGUC
rnacentral:rRNA from 1 species